rnacentral:rRNA from 1 species
GCCUACGGGGGGCAGCAGUAGGGAAUUUUCGUCAAUGGGCGCAAGCCUGAACGAGCAAUGCCGCGUGAACGAGGAAGGUCUUCGGAUCGUAAAGUUCUGUUGAAGGGGAAAAAGAGCGGAGAGAGGAAAUGGUCUCCGAUUGAUAUUACCCUUCGAGGAAGUCACGGCUAACUACGUGCCAGCAGCCGCGGUAAUACGUAGGUGGCGAGCGUUAUCCGGAAUGAUUGGGCGUAAAGGGUACGUAGGCGGCCUGCUAAGUCUGGAGUGAAAGGUACCGGCUCAACCGGUACAGGCUCUGGAAACUG